AGUUAUUUGUAGAGUAUAUCUUCCUUGUUUUUUCUGUGUUCCAUUGAUAGUAAGGGUUUUUUUCCUAAUUGGUAGGAUAUUUGCACAUACAUGGAGAAC
rnacentral:ribozyme from 14 species